CUAGAACGCAAUCGGAAUCAGGCCGAAAGGUCUGCGCCAGCGAUGGCCGCUUGCGAGGUGCUGCAUGGUUGUCGUCAGCUCGUGCCGUGAGGUGUCGGGUUAAGUCCCAUAACGAGCGCAACCCCUACUGCUAGUUGCCAGCGGGUCAUGCCGGGGACUCUAGCGGAACUGCCAGCGUAAGCUGCGAGGAAGGUGGGGAUGACGUCAAAUCAGCACGGCCCUUACGUCCAGGGCUACACACGUGUUACAAUGGCCAGUACAGAGGGCAGCCACCCCGCGAGGGGGCGCUAAUCCUAAAAGCUGGUCCCAGUUCGGAUCGGAGUCUGCAACCCGACUCCGUGAAGCUGGAUUCGCUAGUAAUCGCGCAUCAGCCACGGCGCGGUGAAUACGUUCCCGGGCCUU
rnacentral:rRNA from 1 species